rnacentral:rRNA from 1 species
UACGUAGGCGGAAAAUUAAGUCAGUAGUGAAAUCCUGCAGCUUAACUGUAGAACUGUUAUUGAUACUGGUUUUCAUGAAUAUAGUUGAGGUAGGCGGAAUGUGUAAUGUAGCGGUGAAAUGCUUAGAUAUUACACAGAACACCGAUUGCGAAGGCAGCUUACUAAGCUAUGAUUGACGCUGAGGUACGAAAGCGUGGGGAGCGAACAGGAUUAGAUACCCUGGUAGUCC